UACGAAGGGGGCUAGCGUUGUUCGGAAUUACUGGGCGUAAAGCGCGCGUAGGCGGUGAUCUUUGUCAGAGGUGAAAGCCCGGGGCUCAACUCCGGAAUUGCCUUUGAAACGGGAUUGCUAGAGUCCGAGAGAGGAUGGCGGAAUUCCUAGUGUAGAGGUGAAAUUGUAGAUAUUAGGAAGAACACCGGUGGCGAAGGCGGCCAUCUGGCUCGGUACUGACGCUCAGGCGCGAAAGCGUGGGGAGCAAACAGGG
rnacentral:rRNA from 1 species